rnacentral:rRNA from 1 species
AGAGUUGUAUCCUGGCUCAGAUUGAACGCUGGCGGCAUGCCUUACACAUGCAAGUCGAACGGCAGCACGGAGCUUGCUCUGGUGGCGAGUGGCGAACGGGUGAGUAAUAUAUCGGAACGUACCCAAGAGUGGGGGAUAACGUAGCGAAAGUUACGCUAAUACCGCAUACGAUCUAUGGAUGAAAGCAGGGGACCGCAAGGCCUUGUGCUCCUGGAGCGGCCGAUAUCUGAUUAGCUAGUUGGUAGGGUAAAAGCCUACCAAGGCAUCGAUCAGUAGCUGGUCUGAGAGGACGACCAGCCACACUGGAACUGAGACACGGUCCAGACUCCUACGGGAGGCAGCAGUGGGGAAUUUUGGACAAUGGGCGCAAGCCUGAUCCAGCAAUGCCGCGUGAGUGAAGAAGGCCUUCGGGUUGUAAAGCUCUUUUGUCAGGGAAGAAAAGGGAUUGGCUAAUAUCUGAUCCUCAUGACGGCACCUGAAGAAUAAGCACCGGCUAACUACGUGCCAGCAGCCGCGGUAAUACGUAGGGUGCAGGCGUUAAUCGGAAUUACUGGGCGUAAAGCGUGCGCAGGCGGUUUUGUAAGACUGUCGUGAAAUCCCCGGGCUCAACCUGGGAAUGGCGAUGGUGACUGCAAGGCUAGAGUUUGGCAGAGAGGGGUAGAAUUCCACGUGCAGCAGUGAAAUGCGUAGAUAUGUGGAGGAACACCGAUGGCGAAGGCAGCCCCCUGGGUCA